rnacentral:rRNA from 1 species
AACGAACGCUGGCGGCACGCCUAACACAUGCAAGUCGAACGAAGCAUAAGAGCUUACUCUUAUGACUGAGUGGCGCACGGGUGAGUAACACGUGGGAAUCUGCCUAUUGGUGGGGAAUAACUUUUGGAAACGAAAGCUAAUACCGCAUAAGCCCUAAGGGGGAAAGAUUUAUCGCCAAUAGAUGAGGCCGCGCUAGAUCAGCUAGUUGGUGAGGUAAGAGCUCACCAAGGCUACGAUCUAUAGCUGGUCUGAGAGGAUGGUCAGCCACACUGGGACUGAGACACGGCCCAGACUCCUACGGGAGGCAGCAGUGGGGAAUAUUGGACAAUGGGGGAAACCCUGAUCCAGCGAUGCCGCGUGAGUGAAGAAGGCCUUCGGGUUGUAAAGCUCUUUCAGAGGGGAUGAUAAUGACGGUACCCUCAGAAGAAGCACCGGCUAACUUCGUGCCAGCCGCCGCAGUAA